UACAAAUAGCCUUUACUAUUUACUAUUUUAUAAAAGUUACUUUUAAAAAGCUACUUUAUUAAAGUUGCUUUAUAAAAGUCUUCCAUCUCCACAUGGUGUUGUAAAGUCUUCCAUCUCCACAUGGUGUUGUCCCCAAUAAUGCACUUCGUGGGGUCAUGUAUUCAUCUAGGCCGAGUUCGUCGUUACUCUGGAAUUUUUCUGCUAAAAUGUCUUCUUCAUUAUCUGUGUAUGGAUCCUCAAUGGCAAUUGACCAAAGGAAGAGGAAGAGGCAAAUCAGGAGGAAGAAAAUCCUCUGGGGGAAGAUCAUCCCCAGGAAGAUCAUAUUCUCAAGGAUCAUCAUACAGAUCCUCAUCUAAUUCUCCAGUUAUACAAAUGUGAAACAAGAGUUUGAUAAACUCUAAAAUAAUGCAGAAAGGCAAAUUAUUGCCAUCUCCUUCAAUUCAUCUGGAAGAUAUUCCAAUGGACACUCCAUUAUAUGGAUAUUUACAGGCAUACCUAGCCUCAUAAAAGAAAAGUGAUACAUUUGUUUCUAUAGCUAAAAAAGAAGACAAUGAUGAUAUCAAGUCCUCGAAAAAAUAGAAAACAAAGAGAUGAUAUUUCUUGUUGAAAACUCUGAGAUUCAGAGGAGAGAUGAAUCAUGGAAGAUAUUCUAGAAAUAUUUUAUGAUUAACUUAUAUUUCCCAGAUGAGUCAUACAAAACCCGUACUUAUUAUGAAACUAUUCUCACUUCUACAGGUAGUGUAGUUUUUUAGCAUUUUACUGGGUAUAAUACAGAAGAGAAUAUUUAUAACUUCUUAAAACUUAUUAUUAAAUAGAUUAUAUUCACUGAAGAUUGGGGGAUGACCACAAUGACCGAAAGACAGAUCAGUCUUAAAGAAUCUUAUAUAAAUUUUACUUAUUGGGAUUUUCCAGGCCAUUGAUAAAGUUCUUUAUUAUAAUAAUGAUUGAUAUAAACAUACUUGGUCUAUGAAAUUAUGUGCAAAGAUAUUUGCAGAACUAAUUCUUAAUUGGUUUUUGAAUAGGUGGUCAUACCACGUCCAACUACCAAGAAUUGCCUGAUCAAUUUCUUAAGUUAUACAAAGAAUGGACCCAAGUUUCUCCAAAGUUAAACGAGCUACAUCACACAGAUCAUAUCUGCAAUCUUGAAAAAAUCGAUCAAAUUUACUUCUUUAGUGAAUUUUUCAAUUCCAUGGA